UGACUCCUACAAGGCAUAAAACACGUAAUUAGUACAAAACACUAAUGAUUAAAGCUCAAACUUAAUUAAAAUACAAUAAAUUUAAAUGUAAUAAGCGACGAAAAUAUGUAAUUAUAGCCUAUCAUUAUGUGUCUUAAACAAAUAGUGAAAAAGACUCACGAUUGGUUAUCUCGAGGUAUAUAAAAAAUUCAAAAUGUGGAUAAGUAUACUGAUUUUGAUGUCCAUAAUGGAAUUUCGUUACCAACUGGCAAUCCAUCAAGGUUUAUUUAAUAAAAAAUUGUAACAGCGUAACACACCUUAAUUUACCCUAAUAAUUACAGUCAGACCAUAUAAUAUAACAACAUAAAAGCCAAGUUUUUACUGAACCAAUUUUUAUGUUAUACUAUAAUAUAUAUUCUACAUAACAAUACUUCACUAUAACAUCUAAAAAUAUUCAGAAUAAACAAAAAUCUUAUAGAGAGGUUUGACUGUAGUUCAUUGUGUUCUUGCGCCAACCAAAUACAAAAGAUACCACUAAUUUGAAUCACUAAAGAAAACUAGGACAAUAAAUCGAAGCUAAGAGAAAAAUGGCAUAUGCUACUCUUUCUUCAGUGAUGCAAGUACUAGAGCAACUCCUGCAGCUUAAUCCACCUUUGUUUUAUGGAAAUGAACAGCAACUAAUUGAAUCUGCUUAUCAAAGUCUUUGUGCUUUGCAAAAUUUUUUGGGACCGCGCGUACCCUCACCCUAACCCUGCAUUAGUAUGAUAUUGUCUGCUCUGGGCCAAGCCCUUACGGAUUUAUUUUUGAACAUCUCACAAAAGGCCUCAUAUUAAUGGGGUUGGGUAACCAUAUAUAUGUUGGUCUCUUUUCUCCUUUUCAUCCGAUGUGGGAUGGGAUUUGCACCCCAACAA
rnacentral:lncRNA from 1 species